UGGACAGAUUAUUAUAUUCGACUGUAUUCACGGCGUGAAACAGGGGAUUACAUUGUUUUUAAACGGAAAGUGAAUCAAUUAACAUAAUAGACUCCU
rfam:Nicotiana attenuata strain TT chromosome 7, whole genome shotgun sequence.